GAUGAACGCUAGCGGCAGGCUUAACACAUGCAAGUCGAACGGUAAGGCCCUGCUUGCAGGGUACACGAGUGGCGCACGGGUGCGUAACGCGUAUGCAACCUACCUUUUACUGAGGAAUAGCCCCGAGAAAUUGGGAAUAAUACCUCAUAUUAUCAUAAAACAGCAUUGUUUAAUGAUUAAAGCUCCGGCGGUAAAAGAUGGGCAUGCGUGACAUUAGUUUGUUGGUAAGGUAACGGCUUACCAAGACUACGAUGUCUAGGGGUUCUGAGAGGAUUAUCCCCCACACUGGUACUGAGACACGGACCAGACUCCUACGGGAGGCAGCAGUGAGGAAUAUUGGGCAAUGGACGAAAGUCUGACCCAGCCAUGCCGCGUGCAGGAUGACGGCCCUAUGGGUUGUAAACUGCUUUUAUAUGGGAAGAAACCCGAAGACGUGUCUUCGGCUGACGGUACCAUACGAAUAAGGAUCGGCUAACUCCGUGCCAGCAGCCGCGGUAAUACGGAGGAUCCAAGCGUUAUCCGGAUUUAUUGGGUUUAAAGGGUGCGCAGGCGGCCUUAUAAGUCAGUGGUGAAAUCUCUCGGCUCAACCGAGAAACUGCCAUUGAAACUAUAAGGCUAGAAUACAGACGAGGUAGGCGGAAUGUAGCAUGUAGCGGUGAAAUGCUUAGAUAUGCUACAGAACACCAAUCGCGAAGGCAGCUUACCAGACUGUAAUUGACGCUAAGGCACGAAAGCGUGGGGAGCGAACAGGAUUAGAUACCCUGGUAGUCCACGCCGUAAACGAUGAUUACUCGAUGUUGGUGAUACACUAUCAGCGUCCAAGCGAAAGCGUUAAGUAAUCCACCUGGGGAGUACGAUCGCAAGGUUGAAACUCAAAGGAAUUGACGGGGGCCCGCACAAGCGGAGGAGCAUGUGGUUUAAUUCGAUGAUACGCGAGGAACCUUACCUAGACUUAAAUGUAGAUUGCAUAGAGUAGAAAUAUUCUUUUCCUUCGGGACUAUUUACAAGGUGCU
rnacentral:rRNA from 1 species